AAAUGAAUUGACGGGGACCCGCACAAGCAGCGGAGCAUGUGGUUUAAUUCGAAGCAACGCGAAGAACCUUACCAAGGCUUGACAUCCCCUGAAUGCCCGUGAAAGCGGGAGGUCCCUUCGGGGACAGGGAGACAGGUGGUGCAUGGUUGUCGUCAGCUCGUGUCGUGAGAUGUUGGGUUAAGUCCCGCAACGAGCGCAACCCUUGUUGAUAGUUACCAGUAUUAAGUUAGGGACUCUAUCGAGACUGCCGUGGACAACACGGAGGAAGGUGGGGACGACGUCAAAUCAUCAUGCCCCUUAUGUCUUGGGCUACACACGUGCUACAAUGGCCGCAACAGAGGGCAGCGAAGGCGCAAGCCGGAGCGAAUCUCAAAAAAGCGGUCUCAGUUCAGAUUGUGGGCUGCAACCCGCCCGCAUGAAGACGGAGUUGCUAGUAAUCGCGAAUCAGCAUGUCGCGGUGAAUGCGUUCCCGGGUCUUGUACACACCGCCCGU
rnacentral:rRNA from 1 species